rnacentral:rRNA from 1 species
GAUGAACGCUAGCGGCAGGCCUAAUACAUGCAAGUCGAACGAGAUUAGUAGCAAUACUAUGAAAGUGGCGCACGGGUGCGUAACACGUAUGCAAUCUACCUUUAAUUGGAGAAUAGCCUCGAGAAAUCGGGAUUAAUACUCCAUAACAUUAUGAAAUGGCAUCAUUUUAUAAUUAAACCUCCGGGGAUUAAAGAUGAGCAUGCGCAACAUUAGCUAGUUGGUAAGGUAAUGGCUUACCAAGGCUACGAUGUUUAGGGGGUCUGAGAGGAUGAUCCCCCACACUGGUACUGAGACACGGACCAGACUCCUACGGGAGGCAGCAGUAGGGAAUAUUUGGGGCAAUGGAGGCAACUCUGACCCAGCCAUGCCGCGUGCAGGAUGACGGCCCUCUGGGUUGUAAACUGCUUUUUAUACGGGAAGAAAAAGUACUACGUGUAGUAUAUUGACGGUACCGUAAGAAUAAGGAUCGGCUAACUCCGUGCCAGCAGCCGCGGUAAAGU